AACGAACGCUGGCGGUAUGCUUAACACAUGCAAGUCGAACGAACAAAAUUGGGGCUUGCUCCAAUUUUAGUGAGUGGCAAACGGGUGAGUAACACGUGGGAAUCUACCUAUCAGUACGGAAUAACAUUUGGAAACAGAUGCUAAUACCGUAUAUUCUCCAAGGAGGAAAGAUUUAUCGCUGAUAGAUGAGCCCGCGUAAGAUUAGGUAGUUGGUAGGGUAAUAGCCUACCAAGCCGACGAUCUUUAGCUGGUCUAAGAGGAUGAUCAGCCACACUGGGACUGAGACACGGCCCAGACUCCUACGGGAGGCAGCAGUGGGGAAUAUUGGACAAUGGGCGAAAGCCUGAUCCAGCAAUACCGCGUGAAUGAUGAAGGCCUUAGGGUGUAAAGUUCUUUAGUUGGAAAGAUAAUGACGGUACCAACAG
rnacentral:rRNA from 1 species